rnacentral:lncRNA from 1 species
AAACACCAUAUACAGCUUGUAGUUCACUCAAAAAGAGUAGCUCAUUCAUCAACUGACCAAGCUGAAAUAUUCUGAAUAUUGAAAAAUCUCAGAAAUUUUUUAGAUGUUUAAAAUGUGGGACUUAUCUGAAAGGACAUAAAGAAAGUCAGGGGAUCACCUCUCUCUUUUUCCUGUUUUCAUAUCAUCAUCCUCUUCCUCCUCCUUCCCCAGAAUUGCAAAAAUAUGAGGAAUUAUUGCUACGUACCAGUUACUCUGUUCAGCGUCUCAGCAUCACACAAGAGAGAAGAGACAAUUACGUAUUCACAAGAGAA